AUUAGUAAAAGACGAACUAGGAAUGGCUACUUCGAGGACCUUUCUCGAGCGUCAACAAGUCGACUCAAAACUAGUAUGGACAAGGGAAAUUCAAUUGUUUAAUUAAAACAAAGCAUUGCAAUGGUCCCUACGGAUGCUCACGCAAUGUGAUUUUUGCCCAGUGCUCUGAAUGUUAAAGUGAAGAAAUUCAACCAAGCGCGGGUAAACGACUGGAGUAACUAUGACUCUCUUAAGGUAGCCAAAUACCUCGUCAUCUAAUUAGUGAUGCACAUGACUGGAUUAACAAGAUUCCCACUAUCCCUAUCUACUAUCUAGUGAAACCACAGCCAAGGGAACGAGCUUGG
rnacentral:rRNA from 1 species